rnacentral:lncRNA from 1 species
AUCCAUAGUACAUUCGGCCAUAGCAUACACACAAAUACAUUUAAUAUGAUUUCUUCAUGAAAAAUUAAGGCUAUAACCAAAUAGUCUUUAACCAUUUAAACUACAAAACACAAUUUUACAAGCUUAUAUCAUAAGAGUUUCUCCAUUAAAAUUUUCAAUGUAUAUUCGGCUAUAACACAACCACUUAAUCUUUACAAUUACAA